rnacentral:rRNA from 1 species
CCCUUAGAUGUUCUGGGCCGCACGCGCGCUACACUGAUUCAUGCAACAAGUUUUGUCCUUGGCUGAUAGGCCUGGGUAAUCUUUGAACGUGAAUCGUGAUGGGGAUAGAUGAUUGCAAUUAUUCAUCUUCAACGAGGAAUUCCUAGUAAACGCAAGUCAUCAGCUUGCAUUGAUUACGUCCCUGCCCUUUGUACACACCGCCCGUCGCACCUACCGAUUGAAUGGUCCGGUGAAAUCUUCGGAUCUGAGAGAUGUCUGAUUAAUUUCGGACGCCUUUUGGAAAAAUUGCUUAAACCUUACCAUUUAGAGGAAGGUGAAGUCGUANCA